rnacentral:rRNA from 1 species
UGGGGAAUAUUGCACAAUGGGCGCAAGCCUGAUGCAGCGACGCCGCGUGAGGGAUGACGGCCUUCGGGUUGUAAACCUCUGUUAGCAGGGAAGAAGAGAAAUUGACGGUACCUGCAGAGAAAGCGCCGGCUAACUACGUGCCAGCAGCCGCGGUAAUACGUAGGGCGCGAGCGUUGUCCGGAAUUAUUGGGCGUAAAGAGCUUGUAGGCGGUUUGUCGCGUCUGCUGUGAAAGGCCGGGGCUUAACCCCGUGUAUUGCAGUGGGUACGGGCAGACUAGAGUGCAGUAGGGGAGACUGGAAUUCCUGGUGUAGCGGUGGAAUGCGCAGAUAUCAGGAGGAACACCGAUGGCGAAGGCAGGUCUCUGGGCUGUAACUGACGCUGAGAAGCGAAAGCAUGGGGAGCGAACAGGAUUAGAUACCCUGGUAGUCCAUGCCGUAAACGUUGGGCACUAGGUGUGGGGGACAUUCCACGUUUUCCGCGCCGUAGCUAACGCAUUAAGUGCCCCGCCUGGGGAGUACGGCCGCAAGGCU